GGGGAUAUAGCUCAGUUGGUAGAGUGUUUGCCUGCCAUGCACAAGGCCCUAGGUUCAAUCCCUGGCACCACCA
rfam:Ictidomys tridecemlineatus contig091552, whole genome shotgun sequence.